rnacentral:rRNA from 1 species
AUGAAGAGGAAGAAGACAGGUCGGAGAAGUCGAUAUGGAAGCCUUGUGGCCGCGUGCAUCGUGGAAGGAGACGUAGUGGAACUUGACGGACUCCCACACGGCGGUAGAAGAGAUCGGACGCGGUCGGAGAGGCUACCCCGAGCUCGAGCUCGAGCUAGGCCGGAGCAUGGUGGGCAGGGCGACGGCGUGGGCUUGGAGACUCACCUGGAGGUGGAGAGGGAAGAAGAUGAGGGGGAAUCGGUUGAGAGGAGACCCUAG